AACGAACGCUGGCGGCAGGCUUAACACAUGCAAGUCGAACGGUUGCAGCGAUGCAGCAGUGGCAGACGGGUGAGUAACACGUGGGAACCUUCCUAGGGGUACGGAACAACUCAGGGAAACUUGAGCUAAUACCGUAUACGUCCGUGAGGAGAAAGAUUUAUCGCCCUUAGACGGGCCCGCGUCGGAUUCGCUAGUUGGUGGGGUAACGGCCUACCCAGGCGACGAUCCGUAGCUGUUCUUAGAGGAUGAUCAGCCACACUGGGACUGAGACACGGCCCAGACUCCUACGGGAGGCAGCAGUGGGGAAUCUUGGACAAUGGGCGCAAGCCUGAUCCAGCCAUGCCGCGUGAGUGAAGAAGGUCUUCGGAUUGUAAAGCUCUUUUGCCAGGGACGAUAAUGACGGUACCUGGAGAAUAAGCCCCGGCAAACUUCGUGCCAGCCGCCGCGGUAACAC
rnacentral:rRNA from 1 species